GACGAACGCUGGCGGCGUGCCUAAUACAUGCAAGUAGAACGCACAGUUUAUACCGUAGCUUGCUACACCAUAGACUGUGAGUUGCGAACGGGUGAGUAACGCGUAGGUAACCUGCCUGGUAGCGGGGGAUAACUAUUGGAAACGAUAGCUAAUACCGCAUAAUAUUGAUUAUUGCAUGAUAAUUGAUUGAAAGAUGCUAUUGCAUCACUACCAGAUGGACCUGCGUUGUAUUAGCUAGUAGGUGAGGUAACGGCUCACCUAGGCGACGAUACAUAGCCGACCUGAGAGGGUGAUCGGCCACACUGGGACUGAGGCACGGCCCAGACUCCUACGGGAGGCAGCAGUAGGGAAUCUUCGGCAAUGGACGAAAGUCUGACCGAGCAACGCCGCGUGAGUGAAGAAGGGUUUCGGAUCGUAAAGCUCUGUUGUAAGAGAAGAACGGGUGUGAGAGUGGAAAGUUCACACUGUGACGGUAUCUUACCAGAAAGGGACGGCUAACUACGUG
rnacentral:rRNA from 1 species